UACGGGGGGGGCAAGCGUUGUUCGGAAUUACUGGGCGUAAAGGGCGCGUAGGCGGUUCGCUAAGUUGGAUGUGAAAACUCUGGGCUCAACCCAGAGCCUGCAUCCAAAACUGGCGGGCUAGAGUUCUGGAGGGGAUAGCGGAAUUCCUGGUGUAGCGGUGAAAUGCGCAGAUAUCAGGAGGAACACCAAUGGCGAAGGCAGCACUCUGGGACGUGACUGACGCUGAGACGCGAAAGCGUGGGGAGCAAACAGG
rnacentral:rRNA from 1 species